CAGCAGCCACGGUAAUACGUAGGGUGCAAGCGUUAAUCGGAAUUACUGGGCGUAAAGCGUGCGCAGGCGGUUAUAUAAGACAGAUGUGAAAUCCCCGGGCUCAACCUGGGAACUGCCUUUGUGACUGCAAGGCUAGAGUACGGCAGAGGGGGAUGGAAUUCCGCGUGUAGCAGUGAAAUGCGUAGAUAUGCGGAGGAACACCGAUGGCGAAGGCAAUCCCCUGUGCCUGUACUGACGCUCAUGCACGAAAGCGUGGGGAGCAAACAGGAUUAGAUACCCGCGUAGUCCCUGUCUCUUAUAA
rnacentral:rRNA from 1 species